rnacentral:rRNA from 1 species
UACGAAGGGGGCUAGCGUUGUUCGGAUUCAUUGGGCGUAAAGGGCGCGUAGGCGGCGGGGUAAGUCGGGUGUGAAAUCUCAGAGCUCAACUCUGAAAUGGCACUUGAUACUGCUCUGCUAGAGGACUGGAGAGGAGAUUUGGAAUUCACGGUGUAGCAGUGAAAUGCGUAGAUAUCGUGAAGAAGACCGGUGGCGAAGGCG